AUUAACUUUAAAAAGUAUUUUAAAAAGAUUAAUUUCAUAGAUGUUUUGGCAAAUAUAAUGUAUUGCAAAUAUAUCCUUAUAAAGUUCAACUUUUAUAUAUUAUUCCUGCAAAAGUCCGAAUAUUUUAAAAUAUGUCUCUUUGAUUUAUUACCGUUAAAGUAUUAUUUAUUUUAUAAAUAAAAUGACAUUUUUAUCGUCAUAGAUAUGUCCCUCCAAUUGAAAAGAGGUAAAAAAGUCAAUUCACGUCAUUAACUAACUAGAGUUAAUUAGUUUUAUCUAUGCUUAACUAAUUUUUUCUAACGGAUUAUAACGGCAGAGACAUAUUUGAAAACAUUAGGACGUUUUUUGGAACAACAUAUAAAAGUUAAACUUUAUAGGGAUACAUUUGCAAUGGACUAUAUUUGUAGGGACCUGUAUAAAAUUAACCCUAAAAAAUAAAUACAAAAAAGUUA
rnacentral:lncRNA from 1 species